CCGGCGACCGGCGGACGGGUGCGUAACGCGUAUGUAACCUACCUUUGACAGGGGGAUAACAUCGAGAAAUUGGUACUAAUACCCCAUAACAUCACCGGAGGCAUCUUCGGUGGUUGAAAACUCAGGUGGUCAGAGAUGGACAUGCGUUGUAUUAGCUAGUUGGUGAGGUAACGGCUCACCAAGGCGACGAUACAUAGGGGGACUGAGAGGUCAACCCCCCACAUGGGUACUGAGACACGGACCAAACUCCUACGGGAGGCAGCAG
rnacentral:rRNA from 1 species